ensembl:lincRNA Meg3 maternally expressed 3
GCCUGUCUACACUCGCUGCUUUCCUUCCUCACCUCCAAUUUCCCCUCCAACCCACUGCUUCCUGACUCGCUCUUCUCCAUCGAACGGCUCUCGCUCAGGUUCCACGAGCUGCCCAUCUCCACAGAAGAGCAGCUGGCAUUGCCCACCGGCCAUGCCGGCUGAAGAAAAGAAGACUGAGGACCCCAGGAUGCCCAGCGCGAGGACCCCAGGAAGCCCAGCGCGAGGACUCCACCCACGACGCCCAGCGCGAGGACUUCACGCACAACACGUUGCAACCCUCCUGGAUUAGGCCAAAGCCAUCAUCUGGAAUCCUGCGUGGGACCCUGGACACACGGACACAGACACCUGCCCCCAGGACCCUCCAACUGUAAAUCCCUCUACAGCCACGGGGACGCCUUGCACAUUUCCUGUGGGACAUGCUGGACCCAAGACUCUGGACCCUGGCCUCCCCUUGAGUAGAGAGACCCACCUACUGACUGAUGAACUGCGCUGACCCUGGGGUCAGGCAUGUGGCCUUGAUCCCUACCCAUGGACCCUGAGACUUGGGGGGGUGGGAGAAAGGCUGUUGUGUCUUCACUGUUGAGUCUACAUCUGUGAAAUGGGCUCAGGUUCCUACCUCACAGGGCUGUUGUGAGGCAGCCGCAAUGUGCUUAGAAGCAUGGGGCCUAGUGGCUCAUGGUGCUUUCAAUAAAUUUCUUGUUUUAAC